rnacentral:lncRNA from 1 species
GCCUCGAUCACCCGCUCCCAGACCUUCAUGGUGUGACUUAUUAAUUUAAUACCCCUAUAAUUGUUGCAGCACUGGAUGUCACAUUUGUUCUUGUACAAGGGCACACUGUACUCCACCUCCAUUCCUCCGGCAUCCUUUUGGUCUUGUAGAUCGCAUUGAACAACCUGGAGAGCCACUCCACUCCUGACCUACCCAUGCAUUUCCAGAACUCCACCGGGAUCUCGUCAGGCCCGGUCGCUCGAC